rnacentral:rRNA from 1 species
GAUGAACGCUGGCGGCGUGCUUAACACAUGCAAGUCGAACGGAAAGGCUCCUGCUUGCGGGGGUACUCGAGUGGCGAACGGGUGAGUAACACGUGGGUGAUCUGCCCUGUACUUCGGGAUAAGCUUGGGAAACUGGGUCUAAUACCGGAUAGGACAACUUUUUGGAUAUUGUUGUGGAAAGCUUUUGCGGUAUGGGAUGAGCUCGCGGCCUAUCAGCUUGUUGGUGGGGUAAUGGCCUACCAAGGCGUCGACGGGUAGCCGGCCUGGGAGGGUGUACGGCCACAUUGGGACUGAGAUACGGCCCAGACUCCUACAGGAGGCAGCAGUGGGGAAUAUUGCACAAUGGGCGCAAGCCUGAUGCAGCGACGCCGCGUGGGGGAUGAAGGCCUUAGGGUUGUAAACUCCUUUCGCUAGGGACGAAGCUUUUUUGUGACGGUACCUGGAGAAGAAGCACCGGCUAACUACGUG